rnacentral:ncRNA from 2 species
AAACGUUCUCAGGGCGGGGUGGAAGUCCCCACCGGCGGUAAUUGCGCCACGCGCAUAGCCCGCGAGCGCUUCCCGGUCGCCACGGCGAGGGGAAGGUCAGCAGACCCGGUGUGAUCCCGGGGCCGACGGUCACAGUCCGGAUGAAGAGAGAACGGGA